UACGUAGGGUGCGAGCGUUGUCCGGAAUUAUUGGGCGUAAAGAGCUCGUAGGCGGUCUGUCGCGUCGGUCGUGAAAACCUGCAGCUUAACUGUGGGCGUGCGGUCGAUACGGGCAUGACUGGAGUUCGGCAGGGGAGACUGGAAUUCCUGGUGUAGCGGUGGAAUGCGCAGAUAUCAGGAGGAACACCGAUGGCGAAGGCAGGUCACUGGGCCGCAACUGACGCUGAGGAGCGAAAGCAUGGGGAGCGAACAGG
rnacentral:rRNA from 1 species